UACGUAGGGUGCAAGCGUUGUCCGGAAUUAUUGGGCGUAAAGAGCUCGUAGGCGGUUCGUCGCGUCGGCUGUGAAAACCCGGAGCUCAACUCCGGGCCUGCAGUCGAUACGGGCGGACUAGAGUUCGGCAGGGGAGACUGGAAUUCCUGGUGUAGCGGUGAAAUGCGCAGAUAUCAGGAGGAACACCGGUGGCGAAGGCGGGUCUCUGGGCCGAUACUGACACUGAGGAGCGAAAGCGUGGGGAGCGAACAGG
rnacentral:rRNA from 1 species